rnacentral:rRNA from 1 species
UACGCAGGGUGCAAGCGUUUAAUCGGAAUUACUGGGCGUAAAGCGUGCGCAGGCGGUCUGCUAAGAGAGAUGUGAAAUCCCCGGGCUUAACCUGGGAAUUGCGUUGGAGACUGCAAGGCUGGAGUCUGGCAGAGGGGGGUAGAAUUCCACGUGUAGCAGUGAAAUGCGUAGAGAUGUGGAGGAACACCGAUGGCGCAAGGCAGCCCCCUGGGUCAAGACUGACGCUCAUGCACGAAAGGCGUGGGGAGCAAACAGG